AGCUUUGCACAGUGGCAGUAUCAUAGCCAAUGAAGUUUAUCCAAAGCAUGAUUAUUGUUAACUGAAAACUUUAUCUGAUACACACGCACAGAGUAAAUGCACAAUGGACAAAAAAGCAAUAAAUAAAUGGGCCUCACAGCUCAGGGCCUGACCACAGUAGGGCAUCAGCAAAUAUAUAUUGAAAUCCGCAAAAGAGG
rnacentral:snRNA from 1 species